rnacentral:rRNA from 1 species
AUUGAACGCUGGCGGCAUGCCUUACACAUGCAAGUCGAACGGUAACGGGCCUUCGGGUGCCGACGAGUGGCGAACGGGUGAGUAAUACAUCGGAACGUGCCCGAUCGUGGGGGAUAACGAGGCGAAAGCUUUGCUAAUACCGCAUACGAUCUACGGAUGAAAGCAGGGGACCGCAAGGCCUUGCGCGGACGGAGCGGCCGAUGGCAGUUUAGGUAGUUGGUGGGAUAAAAGCUUACCAAGCCGACGAUCUGUAGCUGGUCUGAGAGGAUGAUCAGCCACACUGGGACUGAGACACGGCCCAGACUCCUACGGGAGGCAGCAGUGGGGAAUUUUGGACAAUGGGCGCAAGCCUGAUCCAGCCAUGCCGCGUGCAGGAUGAAGGCCUUCGGGUUGUAAACUGCUUUUGUACGGAACGAAAAGCCUUCUUUUAAUACAGGAGGGUCAUGACGGUACCGGAAGAAUAAGCACCGGCUAACUACGUG